rnacentral:rRNA from 1 species
GUGAGGAAUUUUCCGCAAUGGGCGAAAGCCUGACGGAGCAAUGCCGCGUGAAGGAUGAAGGCCUAUGGGUUGUAAACUUCUUUUCUCAGAAAAGAAUUAUGACGGUAUCUGAGGAAUAAGCAUCGGCUAACUCUGUGCCAGCAGCCGCGGUAAGACAGAGGAUGCAAGCGUUAUCCGGAAUGAUUGGGCGUAAAGCGUCUGUAGGUUGUUUAAAAAGUAUUCUGUCAAAGAUUAGGGCUUAACCCUAGAUAGGCAGAAUAAACUUUUAAGCUAGAGUGGGGUAGAGGCAGAGGGAAUUCCCGGUGGAGCGGUGAAAUGCGUAGAUAUCGGGAGGAACACCAAAGGCGAAGGCACUCUGCUGGGCCAAUACUAACACUGAGAGACGAAAGCGAGGGGAGCAAAUGGGAUUAGAUACCCUAGUAGUCC